UAAAAGAUAAGCUAAAUUAAGCUAAUGGGCUCAUAACCCGUCUAUGAACUUUCUCUUUUAU
rnacentral:tRNA from 1 species